AGGACGAACGCUGGCGGCGUGCUUAACACAUGCAAGUCGAGCGGUAAGGCCUUUCGGGGUACACGAGCGGCGAACGGGUGAGUAACACGUGGGUGAUCUGCCCUGCACUUCGGGAUAAGCCUGGGAAACUGGGUCUAAUACCGGAUAUGACCUCAGGUUGCAUGACUUGGGGUGGAAAGAUUUAUCGGUGCAGGAUGGGCCCGCGGCCUAUCAGCUUGUUGGUGGGGUAAUGGCCUACCAAGGCGACGACGGGUAGCCGACCUGAGAGGGUGACCGGCCACACUGGGACUGAGACACGGCCCAGACUCCUACGGGAGGCAGCAGUGGGGAAUAUGCACAAUGGGCGAAAGCCUGAUGCAGCGACGCCGCGUGAGGAUGACGGCCUUCGGGUGUAACUCUUUCAGCAGGACGAAGCGCAAGUGACGUACCUGCAGAAGAAGACAACCGGCUAACUACGUAGCCAGCAGCCGC
rnacentral:rRNA from 1 species